GACGUAGGGCGCGAGCGUUGUCCGGAUUUAUUGGGCGUAAAGAGCUCGUAGGCGGCUUGUCGCGUCGACUGUGAAAUCCCGCGGCUCAACCUCGGCUGGUGCAGUCGAUACGGGCAGGCUAGAGUUCGGUAGGGGAGACUGGAAUUCCUGGUGUAGCGGUGAAAUGCGCAGAUAUCAGGAGGAACACCGGUGGCGAAGGCGGGUUCUC
rnacentral:rRNA from 1 species